GCAAGCGUUAAUCGGAAUUACUGGGCGUAAAGCGCACGCAGGCGGUUUGUUAAGUCAGAUGUGAAAUCCCCGGGCUCAACCUGGGAACUGCAUUUGAAACUGGCAAGCUAGAGUCUCGUAGAGGGGGGUAGAAUUCCAGGUGUAGCGGUGAAAUGCGUAGAGAUCUGGAGGAAUACCGGUGGCGAAGGCGGCCCCCUGGACGAAGACUGACGCUCAGGUGCGAAAGCGUGGGGAGCAAACAGGAUUAGAUACCCUGGUAGUCCACGCUGUAAACGAUGUCGAUUUGGAGGUUGUGCCCUUGAGGCGUGGCUUCCGGAGCUAACGCGUUAAAUCGACCGCCUGGGGAGUACGGCCGCAAGGUUAAAACUCAAAUGAAUUGACGGGGGCCCGCACAAGCGGUGGAGCAUGUGGUUUAAUUCGAUGCAACGCGAAGAACCUUACCUACUCUUGACAUCCAGAGAACUUUCCAGAGAUGGAUUGGUGCCUUCGGGAACUCUGAGACAGGUGCUGCAUGGCUGUCGUCAGCUCGUGUUGUGAAAUGUUGGGUUAAGUCCCGCAACGAGCGCAACCCUUAUCCUUUGUUGCCAGCGGUCCGGCCGGGAACUCAAAGGAGACUGCCAGUGAUAAACUGGAGGAAGGUGGGGACGACGUCAAGUCAUCAUGGCCCUUACGAGUAGGGCUACACACGUGCUACAAUGGCAUAUACAAAGAGAAGCGACCUCGCGAGAGCAAGCGGACCUCAUAAAGUAUGUCGUAGUCCGGAUUGGAGUCUGCAACUCGACUCCAUGAAGUCGGAAUCGCUAGUAAUCGUAGAUCAGAAUGCUACGGUGAAUACGUUCCCGGGCCUUGUACACACCGCCCGUCACACCAUGGGAGUGGGUUGCAAAAGAAGUAGGUAGCUUAACCUUCGGGAGGGCGCUUACCACUUUGUGAUUCAUGACUGGGGUGAAGUCGUAACA
rnacentral:rRNA from 1 species